UAGUUUUUGAGGGCGAAAGUUUUU
rnacentral:piRNA from 1 species